AUGGAGGACGACGACCACGACCCCGACUCGCCCCCCCGCCCGUGCUGCUCCUCGCCGUCCGCCGCGGUCCGGUGGCGGCGCUCCGUGAAGCGGAAGCUGGGCGAGGAGACGAGGGGCGGGGGCGGGGGCGGGGACGGGGAGGGGGAGGAGGGGGCGGGGGCGCGGGUGGAGGCGGAGGAGGAGACCGCGGCGCUGCGGGAGGCGCUGGCGGCGGCGCAGGCCACCGCGGCGGCGCUGCGGGGCGAGGUGGAGGAGGAGCGCCUCGCCGCGGCCAGCGCCGCCAGCGAGGCCAUGGCCAUGAUGCUGCGCCUGCAGCGGGAGAAGGCCGAGGUGCAGAUGGAGCUGCGCCAAUUCCGCCGCUUCGCCGACGAGAAGAUGGCGCUCGACGCCGCCGAAAUCGACCACCUCCGCGGCCUCGUCGCCCGCCGCGCGCGCCACCUCGCGCGCGCCCGCUCCAGGCUCCACGCCUACCAGCAGACCUGCCUCCGCCUCGGCAUCCCGCUCCCCGACGCCGACGACGAGGCUGAGGCCGAGGGGCGGGGCCGUGGGGACGGCGGCGACGGCUUCCUCGAGGGCGACGGCGAUGGCGAGGGCGAGGACGGCGACUACUACCCCGAGCUCCGCUGCUACAACGGGGAGUACUACUACGACGACGGCCUGGAGGGGAGCGAGGAGGACGCGGUGGGCGCGGAUCUGGAGCGCCGGAUCUGCCUCCUCGAGCACGGCCAGGAUGGGGAUGUACUAGGUCAACCGUCCCUGGAGGAAGAGGAAGACGAGGGCGCCCACCUGUAUGCAGAUGAGGCAUUGCUGGAGCCGGCUGGGCAGGAAACAAGCGGAUUUUCUGCCGACGAGGUGUUACAUGAGGAGACUGUGGAGGAAAGGAGCCACCCCUGUGAUGAUGAUGAGUUGCCAGAGUCUCCCAUUGCUGGAUAUGGCGUCGAAGAAGGGGGAAGUGACGACGAUGGUUCUGGCAGUGGCAGCGACAGGGUCUACAUGAUCGACAAGGUGCAUCAGGGUGCGGCAGCUCCUACCGCCAGGGUCCUGGACAAGUACGAAGCUGAGGCGCUCGAGCCAGACAUUAAGACGCUAUACAUGAGGCUGGAAGCGCUGGAGGCUGACCGGGAAUCGAUGCGCCAGGCUCUGCUGGGAAUGCGCACUGAGAAGGCUCAACUUAUGCUUCUUCGGGAGAUUGCGCAACAGCUAGCCAAAGACGCCGCUCCAGUUGGCACCGGAGUUGGGUUUGUUCCAGCUGUCCGCCAUUUGCCCAGAAAGCAAGCUGUGGGGGUCGCAGAUACAACGGUCAGGGAAGACAAGAAGACAGCACCCGCCGGGACAUUCUCCAAGCCCCUGUUGUUUAAGUGGGCCAUCGCAUUAUUUUGCUCUCGGAAAAAGAAGCCAUCACAAAGCAGGUAUACAUUUGGAUUAUCAAGUAACAAUGUGGGUUUGCUCAUACUCUUGGACAAGUGCCCCCGGAUUCAGAAAACUCUCAUGAGAAGAAAGUAA
rnacentral:rRNA from 1 species